UACGUAGGGUGCAGGCGUUAAUCGGAAUUACUGGGCGUAAAGGGCGCGUAGGCGGCCAGUGCAAGUCAGUUGUGAAAUCUCCGAGCUUAACUCGGAAAGGUCAACUGAUACUGCUCGGCUAGAGUGCGGAAGGGGCAACUGGAAUUCUUGGUGUAGCGGUGAAAUGCGUAGAUAUCAAGAGGAACACCUGCGGCGAAGGCGGGUUGCUGGGCCGACACUGACGCUGAAGCGCGAAAGCUAGGGGAGCAAACGGG
rnacentral:rRNA from 1 species